CGGUUUCUAGGAGGCUGCAGACACGUAGGAUUUAUUGCACUGACCUUCACCUCGUGAUGCACCUGGCAGCUAUGAACCUCGUGUCAGUGAAUGGGCCAAUUGUUUCCCCAAAGGAGGGCGAUGCAGACACCUGGCUAAGGAGAAACAUGGGGAAACGCCAGGGCUGAGCCCUGCCCGGCAUGGAGUGGUUUUCUCCUCAGCUGCUCUGAGCACACGAAACAAAUUUCCAUCCUGAAACUUUCUCCUGGCUGUUGAGAGGGUCAAGGUGGCUGUUGUCUCUCUAACCUUUGCUGAUGAAAGCAUCCAGUCAGUGCGUGCUCUUCUUCGCAGCUUUAGCUUUUCAUAUCCUGUCUUGGAAACUGCCUUGGGAAUAUCUGAGAAGUCGCAGUUUUUCAUUUCUUUAUGACAAGCUGUUUUUUUUAUGUUCAACACCAAGAAGAUCUUUGUGCACGAACAAUUUGCUCAGCAGCUACCACUGCCAGGUGGUUCUGAGGAGGCUACGUUCAAUAGAAAGCUAUAGGACAGCCUUUCUUCUUGCAGAAGAGCGUGGAUUUUGUACGGAGGAUGGUUCUGAAUGUCAAGACUGACGUUUUCUCAACCUGAACACAGCACCGCACACCGGCCUUGCUCUGGUUCCCACCGGCCCCAGCUACUCCACAUCCCAGGUGCCACGCACGAGCCAAAGACACAGCCCAAGGAUGAAGUAAUGGGAGCUGACCUGCAGCCUGCAACGUGAUCGGGGCAGUACAGAGCAGCAUCGGGUGAAUUGAACACAGAGAGGUGCGAGCAGAGCUGACCGUGCACCGGGCUGCACCAGCCUUCCUGCUGUUCCUCGAAAAACUCCCAGCCACAUACUGGCAUGAACAGAUCCCACUCAGUUCUUGGCAUUUAGCACGCUCACAGGCUGCAGUGAUUCAUAGAAAGCUCCUUGUUCUGGCCCUGGAAUGAGCGUACAUGUUUCAGAGCCUUUUUUUCAUGCAGCUAUGCUGCAGUCUCCUAAAAAUGCAUGUGCAGGCAGAUCGUUCUGCAGAUCCUAUGGCAACGGGCUGCACGGCGGCUGGCUGGCUGCAUGACAAUGUGCAAGGCUUGUGCAUGGAGAAACACCACGCUCACAGGGAGAAAACUUCCUAGGAAUAUUAGUAUGCAGCACCCACUGCCAAGAUAUCAUAGCAAUCCAGCAAGAUCUGACUGCUCAGAAUUAUUAUUCAUGUACAGUGGAAUAUGUAUUUUUUUUUUAAGCAGCAUUGUAAAUUAAUGCCAGCAAAACGUAAUUUGUAAUUUAAAUGUAAAUCAGAAUUGAGUAAGGAUAUAAUGAAGCUCCGAAUGCCUCGGUGGUAUUUGCUAACCCGUCUGUUUUGUGGUGCUUUUUUCACCAAGAUGUUAAAGUUCAUUGUUCAUGCUGAAUACCUCCAAGUGUGUUAUCUGUAUACGUGUGCAGUAAAUACAUACAUAAUAACGAAA
ensembl:lncRNA